rnacentral:rRNA from 1 species
GACGAACGCUGGCGGCGUGCUUAACACAUGCAAGUCGAACGGAAAGGCCCUGCUUUUGUGGGGUGCUCGAGUGGCGAACGGGUGAGUAACACGUGAGUAACCUGCCCUUGACUUUGGGAUAACUUCAGGAAACUGGGGCUAAAACGGGAUAGGAGUUCCGGUUGCAGGGUGGGGGUUGGAAAGUUUCGGCGGUUGGGGAUGGACUCGCGGCUUAUCAGCUUGUUGGUGGGGUAGUGGCUUACCAAGGCUUUGACGGGUAGCCGGCCUGAGAGGGUGACCGGCCACAUUGGGACUGAGAUACGGCCCAGACUCCUACGGGAGGCAGCAGUGGGGAAUAUUGCACAAUGGGCGGAAGCCUGAUGCAGCAACGCCGCGUGCGGGAUGACGGCCUUCGGGUUGUAAACCGCUUUCGCCUGUGACGAAGCGUGAGUGACGGUAAUGGGUAAAGAAGCACCGGCUAACUACGUG